rnacentral:rRNA from 1 species
GACGUGCUAAUCUGCGAUAAGCGUCGGUAAGGUGAUAUGAACCGUUAUAACCGGCGAUUUCCGAAUGGGGAAACCCAGUGUGAUUCGUCACACUAUCAUUAACUGAAUCCAUAGGUUAAUGAGGCGAACCGGGGGAACUGAAACAUCUAAGUACCCCGAGGAAAAGAAAUCAACCGAGAUUCCCCCAGUAGCGGCGAGCGAACGGGGAGCAGCCCAGAGCCUGAAUCAGUGUGUGUGUUAGUGGAAGCGUCUGGAAAGGCGUGCGAUACAGGGUGACAGCCCCGUACACAAAAAUGCACAUACUGUGAGCUCGAUGAGUAGGGCGGGACACGUGGUAUCCUGUCUGAAUAUGGGGGGACCAUCCUCCAAGGCUAAAUACUCCUGACUGACCGAUAGUGAACCAGUACCGUGAGGGAAAGGCGAAAAGAACCCCGGCGAGGGGAGUGAAAAAGAACCUGAAACCGUGUACGUACAAGCAGUGGGAGCACGCUUAGGCGUGUGACUGCGUACCUUUUGUAUAAUGGGUCAGCGACUUAUAUUCUGUAGCAAGGUUAACCGAAUAGGGGAGCCGAAGGGAAACCGAGUCUUAACUGGGCGUUAAGUUGCAGGGUAUAGACCCGAAACCCGGUGAUCUAGCCAUGGGCAGGUUGAAGGUUGGGUAACACUAACUGGAGGACCGAACCGACUAAUGUUGAAAAAUUAGCGGAUGACUUGUGGCUGGGGGUGAAAGGCCAAUCAAACCGGGAGAUAGCUGGUUCUCCCCGAAAGCUAUUUAGGUAGCGCCUCGUGAAUUCAUCUCCGGGGGUAGAGCACUGUUUCGGCAAGGGGGUCAUCCCGACUUACCAACCCGAUGCAAACUGCGAAUACCGGAGAAUGUUAUCACGGGAGGCACACGGCGGGUGCUAACGUCCGUCGUGAAGAGGGAAACAACCCAGACCGCCAGCUAAGGUCCCAAAGUCAUGGUUAAGUGGGAAACGAUGUGGGAAGGCCCAGACAGCCAGGAUGUUGGCUUAGAAGCAGCCAUCAUUUAAAGAAAGCGUAAUAGCUCACUGGUCGAGUCGGCCUGCGCGGAAGAUGUAACGGGGCUAAACCAUGCACCGAAGCUGCGGCAGCGACGCUUAUGCGUUGUUGGGUAGGGGAGCGUUCUGUAAGCCUGUGAAGGUGUGCUGUGAGGUAUGCUGGAGGUAUCAGAAGUGCGAAUGCUGACAUAAGUAACGAUAAAGCGGGUGAAAAGCCCGCUCGCCGGAAGACCAAGGGUUCCUGUCCAACGUUAAUCGGGGCAGGGUGAGUCGACCCCUAAGGCGAGGCCGAAAGGCGUAGUCGAUGGGAAACAGGUUAAUAUUCCUGUACUUGGUGUUACUGCGAAGGGGGGACGGAGAAGGCUAUGUUGGCCGGGCGACGGUUGUCCCGGUUUAAGCGUGUAGGCUGGUUUUCCAGGCAAAUCCGGAAAAUCAAGGCCGAGGCGUGAUGACGAGGCACUACGGUGCUGAAGCAACAAAUGCCCUGCUUCCAGGAAAAGCCUCUAAGCAUCAGGUAACAUCAAAUCGUACCCCAAACCGACACAGGUGGUCAGGUAGAGAAUACCAAGGCGCUUGAGAGAACUCGGGUGAAGGAACUAGGCAAAAUGGUGCCGUAACUUCGGGAGAAGGCACGCUGAUACGUAGGUGAAGCGACUUGCUCGUGGAGCUGAAAUCAGUCGAAGAUACCAGCUGGCUGCAACUGUUUAUUAAAAACACAGCACUGUGCAAACACGAAAGUGGACGUAUACGGUGUGACGCCUGCCCGGUGCCGGAAGGUUAAUUGAUGGGGUUAGCGCAAGCGAAGCUCUUGAUCGAAGCCCCGGUAAACGGCGGCCGUAACUAUAACGGUCCUAAGGUAGCGAAAUUCCUUGUCGGGUAAGUUCCGACCUGCACGAAUGGCGUAAUGAUGGCCAGGCUGUCUCCACCCGAGACUCAGUGAAAUUGAACUCGCUGUGAAGAUGCAGUGUACCCGCGGCAAGACGGAAAGACCCCGUGAACCUUUACUAUAGCUUGACACUGAACAUUGAGCCUUGAUGUGUAGGAUAGGUGGGAGGCUUUGAAGUGUGGACGCCAGUCUGCAUGGAGCCGACCUUGAAAUACCACCCUUUAAUGUUUGAUGUUCUAACGUGGACCCGUAAUCCGGGUUGCGGACAGUGUCUGGUGGGUAGUUUGACUGGGGCGGUCUCCUCCUAAAGAGUAACGGAGGAGCACGAAGGUUGGCUAAUCCUGGUCGGACAUCAGGAGGUUAGUGCAAUGGCAUAAGCCAGCUUGACUGCGAGCGUGACGGCGCGAGCAGGUGCGAAAGCAGGUCAUAGUGAUCCGGUGGUUCUGAAUGGAAGGGCCAUC